GGGCAGUUAGCUCAGGGGGAGAGCGCUUCCUUGACACGGAAGAGGUCGAUGGUUCGAUUCCAUUACUGCCCACCA
rnacentral:tRNA from 1 species